GUAGUCUCGCACAGAUGCAUAUCAAUAAGCGGAGGAAAAGAAACUAACAAGGAUUCCCCUAGUAGCGGCGAGUGAAGCUGGGAAGAGCUCAAAUUUGAAAUCUUAAAGGGUUUCCCUUUACGAAUUGUAGUUUAAAGAAGUGUUUUCUGUUGAGGUUUUGGUAAAAGUUCUUUGGAAUAGGACAUCAUAGAGGGUGAGAAUCCCGUAUUUGACCCUUACUUUCAACUUUGUGAUACACUUUCAAAGAGUCGGAUUGUUUGAGAAUGCAGUCCAAAAUGGGUGGUAAAUUUCAUCUAAAGCUAAAUAUUGGCGAGAGACCGAUAGCGAACAAGUACCGUGAGGGAAAGAUGAAAAGAACUUUGAAAAGAGAGUUAAACAGUACGUGAAAUUGUCAAAAGGGAAGCGUUUGACACCAGUGUUGUUUUUCUGAAAAUCAAUUAAAGAACUGUUUAUGCUAAGCUGUUUAGACUUUAUCAGCUAUACUGUUUAGUUUUGAGCUUUUCUUUAAUGCACUUUUCAGUUAUCAAGUCAACAUCAAUUUCUUUUGCUGUAAAAAAGCUUGAGGAAGGUGGCUUGAGAUUCGUCUUAAGUGUUUAUAGCCUCUUGCCUAUGCAGUCGGAGAGAUUGAGGUCUGCAGCGUAGAUCCUUCGGGGCUAAAUGCAUUUGUGCUAAGUUAUAGCAUUUCAUAGACAACUUGUUGACUAUGAUUUGUCUUGUAGCUUACUCGCUUAUGUUAUUUUACCUACGCUUAGGAUGUUGACAGCAGUAUAGACUGU
rnacentral:rRNA from 1 species